UCUAAAUAUAUUUUAGCUUUCGUUAUUAACAUACGAGUGGUUAAAAAUUGCGGCUAACUGACUGAUACCUCAGACAGCGUAACGUUUGCCACACCAUUUGUUUUUGUAUCACAGGCGUCACAGGUUCUCAGCUGGGCUAGGUCACGAAGUUUAGUCCAGAGAUGGUCUAGUGAUCAGGACCACGUUAAAAAAUGAAAGCAUUUGCUACACAUCUUUCUCGAUUAUCUUCAGAAUUAAAAGAAUGCACGCAUCUUAAUUGGCUCGUAAAGGUGAUUGCAGUGAACCCCAAUUGAGGCCACAAUGUGUGUUCAGGAAAAUCACCCUUCUACACAACCAUUUCUUCACAGCAGAUUUUCAGCUCUCUUAUUGAUAACUGAAAUUGGUUGCUCCGAAAAACCCUAUGAAAUUUUCCGAAUGGCAGACGUUCGUCAAGAUUAAAAUUUAACACUGCAAACUAUAGAGCGUCGUACCAUGCCGGCGAAAGGCCUGGAGAUCUAUUUGGUCGCAUUGAUGUAACAAUGAAGAACCAUCACUUCUCCUCAUUUUUGUAGUAAUGGAACGGCUCAUUCACAACUAGAGUGCACAGAAUAUGCAAACGUUUGACGUCUUUUCGCCAGAAAUAAUAGCCACUACAGCGGAAACCACUGAACGACGAAGAUUCUGACCUUAGACUCUGGUCCUGCCACUGUGCAAGAGAGGCAUUCGCUACAAAGCUGGAACGUGAUGGUUAGAGGUAUCCAGGGACGGUGGGUCGUGGAUUAUUCUGUAUUCCAUUGAGAUACUUUUAAAUGAACUGAUCAGUAAGCAAAGCCGUGCAUCAUCAAGUAUACCAUUGGGAUACUUUUACCUCAACCGAAGAACACAUUUUCUGUGGAAGACAACAUUAUUCUAGUCGUCACAACAUAAAAAUUUAGAGACAGCGGCAGACUUCAAGCUAGCAAGCAUUUUGACGACAUGUUCAGGCACUGGAGGAGGAGUGGGCAAAUGAUCACCGGUGACCUGGAAUCCGUUUUCGUCAGCGAACCAAUUGACAGUAAGGACAAUGCCGUCCGGAGAGGUGUACAAGUAAGAUCCUUUAGAAACUGUGCCAAUAUCUUCAGGCUUAAGUCCUACUUGCUUCUGCUUGCCGCUCUCGGAGACUUUGGUUCCAUCAGCACUAUCAAAGCUUUUGAGGUAUAAAAUGAUAUUUCAGAAUUAAAAGUAGUGCAAGUUGACCAUGAAAUAAGAAGUCCUAACUUACACGAAAGAAUAGCUACUAUCAGCGUUCAUUUCACUAUUGGAGGAGAUAAUUCCCCUAUAGGGAUUCAAGCAAAACGAAUUUCACGAUAGGAAUUCUAUCAAAACUCAAUUACGGUAUACCCUACCCCAAACGGAUUUCAACCAACUUUUUCUGAGACUUUCCUCCAGAGAUGGCGCAUAUUCGCGGGGGUAUCGGCACUUAUCUCAUACGUAUUUUUACCAUCGAUGCUGCGCUGCAGAAAUCGAUAUUAACUUGUAGAGAUAACGUGCCGUUUAACGUUCCUAUUUCCGUAAUUAUUGGCUGAACGGCGAAGGAGUGCGGAGCAAUCUAGCCGGCCGACUCGAGUUUAGGCAGUUUUUUCUACGCGAUAGGUGGCGUCUUUUGGGCAAAACUAUUGAAAAAAGGCCGCGACCUUCGUUUUUAAGGCAUGGCUUGGAGAGGCUACUCUUAUACUAAAAGCCGUGGAAUUUCUCAUAUCAUAAAUAAUAUAUACGUUGUUUCUAGUCAGAAUAGGUCUCGGCUCCGAUUACCCAAGAACCAGCUUACUGUUGGUGGAGCUUUAUAAAGAUUUUUCUUUUCCUUAUAGCUAUUGCGUACUAUUGAGCCAUGAUCAGACACAACCAAACUGGAAUGAUCUCGACCGUGUUUGCUACAUAUUCGGAAAGCCUGUGCGUGAAUCGGUGACAAACUUUAAACAUACCUACUUAACGAGUAACAUUUUGGCGACUUUGAGGGAAGCGGAUUUUAUCUGGCAAAUAAAAUAUUAAGGGAUUUGGGUUGCUAUAAGAAGCUAGCCCAGAUGGCAAACGUCUUGAUCCUUUUUCACUUUUAUCGCUAUUCUAUAGUCAACGCAUUCGAUCAUGCCAGCGAUCAGUCGUUUUUCGACCGUUUCUUUCACGGGAUUUUAUGACUGGACUUCCUGGAAUUCCUGAUUCUCAUCUGCCCCAAGAGGUUGUAGACAAGAUGGUUGAAGCCUUCUUUACUGUUCCAGGGAUUUCCAGGGUUUUGUUUGACCUGACGGCAAAACCAUCCGAGACAACGGAGUGGGAAUGAUUUGAUUUACGAACGUUGCUUAGGCAAAUCAUCUCCGCACUCUUUAUAGGACACGGAUACGGAGUUAUAUCAUUGACUAGAUAUAGAAGGGAAAUAUUAUGAACAGUGGAUUCAGUAUAGACGUUUGAAAUUGAAAAAUCAAUCAACUUUGUCGUUGCUUGAAAAUCUCUUGAACCCGCUUUUAAGAGGAUUUCACGUGAUAACUUGUUGACUAUUCCUUAAAUAUACAUGCACACUUGUUGGAAAUAAAGGGUGCAUUAGUUUUUCUUCGAAACAAAUUAAACAUUGUUAAUGUGCAGCUAGGUGGGUUGUGGUUUUAUCUCUCUUGUAUAACUACCGUUUUUCGCCAAAUUGUUAAUCUAAUUCUUUUGAAACGUUCGGAUGUCGCCCAUGCCAUUUCCUAAAACUGAAUAUUCAUAAAAUGUAUAUGUUCGCGAAUUGUUCAGAACUAUUCAGAGUGGCACCAUAAAGUAUAACUGUACGAAAGGGUACGUAGGCUUCUAAAAAUAAAGAACAGCUCUGACGUCUUUGGUAAGCGGAAAGGGUACUGCUCAUUGAAGCGUCAGAUGACGGUUUUAAGAAUGGA
rnacentral:lncRNA from 1 species